CACCUCAAAGGAAAAGCGGCCCAUUUGGCUCUUCCCGUUCUCAAAGAUGGUGGUCUGGGGGUCUUUUUCACAGCUGGACAAGUUAGUGGCUUUCACUGCUGCAAACACACGUGUCUUCAGAGUCAGUCCUGCCAUGGGGAUGGACAGCUGCUGAGCGUAUGAUGUGUCCUGUGCAGGAACAAGAAACGGAUCCAAUCCAAACAUUAAAAGGUUGGUCGGGGUAUUAAAGUGCUCCAGAAUCAUCACACCCUCCAACAGGUUUCAAGAAAAUUGGUUCGAUGGUUUUCUUAUAAUCGUGCCAACAUACAGACAAAAGGGAGAGGGAAACUCUCAUCCCUGUCAGAGGUAAUGAUGCAAAACUUCUUCACUGCAGCUUCAGUCAUUUUUUAUUUUUAUUUUUUUUCAAGGUUGUAUUGAUCCCUUGCUCUCUGUUAUGCUGUUUCACAGAUCAGGUUGUCACUGGAUUGGUCCACACCAGGAUGGAGGGACUAAAUGAAUGGGUAACUUAUGGUAUUGGCAAGCAGUGAGAUAAUAUUGGUAUAUAUUAUAAUUAUAAUAUU